UACAGAGGUCCCAAGCGUUGUUCGGAUUCACUGGGCGUAAAGGGUGCGUAGGCGGUCGGGUAAGUCUGAUGUGAAAUCUCACAGCUUAACUGUGAAACUGCAUUGGAUACUAUCCGGCUCGAGGAAUGGAGGGGAGACUGGAAUACUUGGUGUAGCAGUGAAAUGCGCAGAUAUCGGGAGGAACACCGGUGGCGAAGGCGGUUCUCUGGGCCUGUACUGACGCUGAGGAGCGAAAGUGUGGGGAGCGAACAGG
rnacentral:rRNA from 1 species